UAGAUUUUUCUAUCUCUCUCUCUCUCUUAAUUUUUGAGGUAUUAAAAAAAGGGUUGCGCUCAAAGGAGCUCUGUUUAAUAAGGAACAUUUUGGUGUAUGAUACUUUUUUCUGAGUCAAAUAGUUUCUGAGUUAUUGACACUUUUAUCUACUCAUGUGCUUCAAAGUUCUUUGAAAUUUGUAGUAUGACUUUUUUGAGUAUAUCUUGGGCAUUUUUUGAGGUACUCAAAUGAGGGUUACACUCAAAGGAACUGUGUUUAAUGGCGAACAUUUUGAUGUAUAAUACUUUUUUCUGAGUCAAGUAGUUUCUGAGUUAUUGACACUUUUGUCUGUCCACUUGAUUCAAGGUUUUUGAAAAGUUGCAGUGACACUUUUUUGAGUAUAUCUUGGGCAUUUUUUGAGGUACUCAAAUGAGGGUUACACUCAAAGGAACUGUGUUUAAUGGCGAACAUUUUGAUGUAUAAUACUUUUUUCUGAGUCAAGUAGUUUCUGAGUUAUUGACACUUUUGUCUGUCCACUUGAUUCAAGGUUUUUGAAAAGUUGCAGUGACACUUUUUUGAGUAUAUCUUGGGCAUUUUUUGAGGUACUCAAAUGAGGGUUUCACUCAAAGGAACUGUGUUUAAUGGAGAACAUUUUGAUGUAUAAUACUUUUUUCUGAGUCAAGUAGUUUCUGAGUUAUUGACGCUUUUAUCUGUCUACUUGAUUCAAGUUUUUUGAAAAGUUGCAGUAACACUUUUUUGAGUAUAUCUUGGGCAUUUUUUGAGGUACUUAAAUGAGGGUUACACUCAAAGGAACUGUGUUUAAUGGCGAAUAUUUUGAUGUAUAAUACUUUUUUCUGAGUCAAGUAGUUUCUGAGUUAUUGACACUUUUACUUGUCCACUUGAUUCAAGGUUUUUGAAAAGUUGCAGUAACACUUUUUUGAGUAUAUCUUGGGCAUUUUUUGAGGUACUUAAAUGAGGGUUACACUCAAAGGAACUGUGUUUAAUGGCGAAUAUUUUGAUGUAUAAUACUUUUUUCUGAGUCAAGUAGUUUCUGAGUUAUUGACACUUUUACUUGUCCACUUGAUUCAAGGUUUUUGAAAAGUUGCAGUAACACUUUUUUGAGUAUAUCUUGGGCAUUUUUUGAGGUACUUAAAUGAGGGUUACACUCAAAGGAACUGUGUUUAAUGGCGAAUAUUUUGAUGUAUAAUACUUUUUUCUGAGUCAAGUAGUUUCUGAGUUAUUGACACUUUUACUUGUCCACUUGAUUCAAGGUUUUUGAAAAGUUGCAGUAACACUUUUUUGAGUAUAUCUUGGGCAUUUUUUGAGGUACUUAAAUGAGGGUUACACUCAAAGGAACUGUGUUUAAUGGCGAAUAUUUUGAUGUAUAAUACUUUUUUCUGAGUCAAGUAGUUUCUGAGUUAUUGACACUUUUACUUGUCCACUUGAUUCAAGGUUUUUGAAAAGUUGCAGUAACACUUUUUUGAGUAUAUCUUGGGCAUUUUUUGAGGUACUUAAAUGAGGGUUACACUCAAAGGAACUGUGUUUAAUGGAGAACAUUUUGGUGUAUGAUACUUUUUUCUGAGUCAAGUAGUUUCUGAGUUAUUGACACUUUUACCUACUCACCUGCUUCAAAGUUCUUUGAAAUUUGCAGUAAGACUUUUUUGAGGAUAUCUCGGUGACUUUUUGAGGUAUUUAAACGAGGGUUACACUCAAAGGAGCUCUGUGUAAUGAGGAACAUUUUGAUGUAUAAUACCUUUUUCUGAGUCAAGUAGUUUCUGAGUUAUUGACAUUUUUACUCAUUACUCAUUCACCUGAUUUGAGGUUCUUUGAUAUUUUCACUUCUUCAGGACAUUUUCCCUUAUAACUCUUAAACCAUUCAAGAUAUUUUUGUAAUUCUUUCACCAUAUUAUAAAGAGCACUCAGUAGAUGGAUUCUAUGUAAAAAAGUCGGUUCUAUAGUCAAAAUUGGCUAGAGUAAUUUUUGUUGUCGAGGGUACCUUAGUAAGCCCUAUAGAGGAUAUCUCGAAGACUUUUUAAGAUACUCAAAAGAGGUUUUCACUCAAAGGAGCUCUGUUUAAUGAGGAACAUUUUGAUAUAUGAUAAAUUUUUCUGAGUCAAAUAGUUUCUGAGUUAUCCCCAGUUUUACUCACCCACCUGAUUUAAGGUCCUUGACUUUUUACAGAUUUUCACCUUCACACAUUUCCUCUUGUAAUUUCCAAACUAUUUAAGAUAUUUUAAUAAUUCCUUUACUAUAAUAUAUUAGGGAUUCUGCAGAUGGAUUUCACGUGAAACUAAUUAGUUCUCAAUAAAAAAAUUUCCGAGCCAAAGCAAUUGUUGUUUUUUGAGGUACUUUUUGACCUGAAUUUAGUUUUUUGCGGAUAACUUUAACAGUCUUUGAGGUAAUCAAGUGAGGUCUUCGCUCAAAGGAGGCCACUUUUCGGAGGAACAAUUUGGUAUAUUAUACAUUUUUCUGAGUCAAGUAGUUUCUGAGUUACACUCAUUUUUACCCACCCACCUGAUUUAGUGGCCGUUGACUAUUUAUAAUUUUUCCCCGUCUGACAUUUUCCCUCAUAGUUCCCAAACUAUUUAAGAUAUUUUUAUAAUUCUUUCACCAUAUUAUGAUGAGGACUCAGUGGAUGGAUUCUAUGCAAAAAAGUUGGUUUUAUGUUAGAAAAUGGCUAAACUAGAGCUAAAUUGGUUUUCAAGGGUACCUCGUAAGACUUAUUUGAGAAUAUCUUGGACACUUUUUAACAUAAUUAAAUGAGGGUUUCACUCAAAGGAACUGUGUUUAAUGGCGAACAUUUUAAUGUAUAAUACUAUUUUCUGAGUCAAGUAAUUUCUGAGUUAUCGACACUUUUACCCGUCCACUUGAUUCAAGGUUUUUGGAAAGUUACUGUAACACUUUUUUGAGUAUAUCUUAGACAUUUUUUGAGGUACUCAAAUGAGGGUUACACUCAAAGGAGCUGUGUUUAAUGGAGAAUAUUUUGAUGUAUAAUACUUUUUUCUGAGUCAAGUAGUUUCUGAGUUAUCGACACUUUUGUCUUUCCUCUUGAUUCAAGGUUUUUGAAAAGUUGCAGUGACACUUUUUUGAGUAUAUCUCGGGCAUUUUUUGAGGUACUCAAAUGAGGUUUACACUCAAAGGAACUGUGUUUAAUGAGGAACAUUUUGAUGUAUAAUACUUUUUUCUGAGUCAAGUAGUUUCUGAGUUAUUGACACUUUUACUCACCCACCCGAUUUAUGGUCGUUUGACCUACUUCCGAAAAUCCUUGAUUUAUUUAGAAUUCUGCUGAUUGAUUGACGAUCUUUCCUCUUUGUUUUAUACACGUUUAUCCACUGUCUCUCUCUU
rnacentral:lncRNA from 1 species